rnacentral:lncRNA from 1 species
AAAAGAAAUCAAAUAUUGACUUUUGUAACAAAUGUGUGUGUGUAUAUAUAUAUAUACACACACACAUAUAUAUAUUUCCUAUCUAAGAAUAUGAGAUCUUAGGUCAGAAUUGCUCUCCAUCUUUACAUCUCCCCCAACCCCUAACAUGGUGCAUUCCACAAAGCAAGCCGCAAUAAAUAAGAGUCAUGGAAAGCAGGCCAGAUAAAUCAAAAUGGCAUGAUUUUAUGAUUGUAAUAUGUUUAUUUUAUAAUCAAAAGUGUUUUGUUAAAAUAAAUUGUGUAAUUAUUUGCAGCAUAUAUGAUUACAUUCAAUAUUAUAAAAUGUAAAGAACUCUAACUUGGCUGAAAUCACAACACAUUAGUUAGCUUAAAAUCUAAUCAUGAAAACCACAUAUAUGCAGACAAAUAGCACAUAUACUUAUAGAGAGAGACACAGAUUUUUUUCCAUUAGAAUAUAAAAUUUGAAUAUUAGCAAACCCAAAACCCAAAGUUACUAUUUGGUAGCUGAAAUUUGACCAUAUAUAUUUCUCUAUUUCCAAAAAACACAGUGAUGUGUUCAAAGGUAUAAAUGUUAUGUACUUCCCAGGUAACAGACAUCUAGCAUACCAAUCACAGAGCAGAGUACACUUAUACCAACCCUUUCUGCUCUAACGACCUAGGAACUCUGGCUCAACUGUAA